UGGGGAAUCUUGCGCAAUGGGCGGAAGCCUGACGCAGCAACGCCGCGUGAGGGAUGACGGCCUUCGGGUUGUGAAAUCCUCUUUCAGCCGAUCGUACGAAGGCUCGAUCUUGUUGCGGGUUGACGGUAGGUCGAGAAGAAGCACCGGCCAACUACGUGCCAGCAGCCGCGGUAAUACGUAGGGUGCGAGCGUUGUCCGGAAUUAUUGGGCGUAAAGAGCUCGUAGGCGGUGUGUCACGUCGGCCGUGAAAACCUGGGGACUUAACUCUGGGCGUGCGGUCGAUACGGGCAUCACUAGAGUUCGGCAGGGGAGACUGGAAUUCCUGGUGUAGCGGUGAAAUGCGCAGAUAUCAGGAGGAACACCGGUGGCGAAGGCGGGUCUCUGGGCCGAUACUGACGCUGAGGAGCGAAAGCAUGGGUAGCGAACA
rnacentral:rRNA from 1 species